rnacentral:rRNA from 1 species
CCCUUAGAUGUCCUGGGCCGCACGCGCGUUACACUGAUGCAUUCAACGAGCUUAUAACCUUGGCCGAGAGGCCUGGGCAAUCUUGUUAACGUGCAUCGUGAUAGGGAUAGAUUAUUGAAAUUAUUAAUCUUGAACGAGGAAUUCCUAGUAAACGCAGAUCAUCAAUCUGCAUUGAUUACGUCCCUGCCCUUUGUACACACCGCCCGUCGCUCCUACCGAUUGAAUGUUCCGAUGAAUACCAUGGACUGAGAGUAUGAAUGGGUUCGCCUAUUUCUGCUUCUCGGGAAGUGGAGUAAAUCUUAACAUUUAGAGGAAGGAGAAGUCGUAACA